GAUGAACGCUGGCGGCAUGCCUAACACAUGCAAGUCGAUCGGUAAGGCUCUUCGGAGUACACGAGAGGCGGACGGCUGAGUAACGCGUAGGAACACACCCUGCAGUGAGGGAUAAGACACCGAAAAGUGUUCUAAUACCGCAUACGGUCUUCGGAUUAAAGCAUUUAUGCGCUGAAGGAGUGGCCUGCGUCAUAUUAGAUAGUUGGUGAGGUAAUGGCUCACCAAGUCGAUGAUGUGUAGCUGGUCUGAGAGGAUGAUCAGCCAGACUGGAACUGCGACACGGUCCAGACUCCUACGGGAGGCAGCAGUGAGGAAUAUUGCACAAUGAGCGAAAGCUUGAUGGAGCAAUGCCGCGUGAAGGAUGAAGGCCCUCGGGUUGUAAACUGCUUUUAUAAGAGAAGAUUAUGACGGUAACUUAUGAAUAAGGGACGGCUAACUACGUG
rnacentral:rRNA from 1 species